rnacentral:lncRNA from 1 species
UAUGGUUUCUCUACCAUUCCUCCUGGAUUGUGUCCACCUUAACCAGUGCAGUGUUAUCCUGGAACAGGAAACCACAGACCUCCAGGGCACACACUAGAGAAUACUAUUUGCAGGUUUAAAAAGAUAACUGAAUGACAAAAUUAAAACCAGUUUGGUUGAAUGUUUCUCAUCCUGUUUUAACCACAAGGAGCAGAAAGAUCUGAAAUUCCACAGAGAUUAGAAUUUUGUCAGAAGAACUUCAACAUGAUAAUAAAAUUCACCAUAAACUUAACUGAAUAAUAGCAAUAAUAAUUUUUAAAAAGCUUAAAAAUGUAGUUGAAUUACCUGUUCCAUAUUGUAUGAAAUGUGUUCAUAGUUAAACCUUUUGCAAAUGUC